AAAAUUUAGACAUUAUUUCAAAAUUUUGAUGUAAUUUUUUAAUAUUUAAUAUUUAAUUUGAAUUUAAAUUAAUAUAUUAUAAAGAUAAUGUUAGUAUAUUAAUUUGAUUAUGUUUUUAUAUUAAUCUGAACUAAAUAUCGACAAUGGGAAUGAUUUAUUUCGAUUCCGAUUCAGGUGAUGAAUCAAACAGAAUUAGAUAAUGAGUCAUUUCGAUUCUAAUUCCAGCUU
rnacentral:lncRNA from 1 species